GACGAACGCUGGCGGCGUGCCUAAUACAUGCAAGUCGAGCGCAGGAAGCUCACGGAACUCUUCGGAGGGAAGUGAAGGGAAUGAGCGGCGGACGGGUGAGUAACACGUAAGGAACCUGCCCCAAGGAUUGGGAUAACUCCGAGAAAUCGGAGCUAAUACCGAAUAGUUCUUCAGACCGCAUGGUCUGAUGAUGAAAGGCGCUCCGGCGUCACCUUGGGAGGGCCUUGCGGUGCCUUAGCUAGUUGGUGGGGUAAUGGCCCACCAAGGCGACGAUGCAUAGCCGACCUGAGAGGGUGAUCGGCCACACUGGGACUGAGACACGGCCCAGACUCCUACGGGAGGCAGCAGUAGGGAAUCUUCCACAAUGGACGAAAGUCUGAUGGAGCAACGCCGCGUGAGUGAUGAAGGUUUUCGGAUCGUAAAACUCUGUUGUAAGGGAAGAACAGGUAUGAGAGGUAAUGCUCAUGCUAUGACGGUACCUUACGAGAAAGCCACGGCUAACUACGUGCCAGCAGCCGCAGUAACAC
rnacentral:rRNA from 1 species